rnacentral:rRNA from 1 species
ACGGGAGGCAGCAGUGGGGAAUAUUGCGCAAUGGGGGCAACCCUGACGCAGCAACGCCGCGUGAAGGAAGAAGGCCUUCGGGUUGUAAACUUCUGUCUUUAGGGAAGAAACAAAUGACGGUACCUAAGGAGGAAGCCACGGCUAACUACGUGCCAGCAGCCGCGGUAAUACGUAGGUGGCAAGCGUUGUCCGGAUUUACUGGGUGUAAAGGGCGCGUAGGCGGGCUUGCAAGUCAGUCGUGAAAUGCCGGGGCUUAACCCCGGAGCUGCGAUUGAAACUGUAAGUCUUGAGUGUCGGAGAGGAAAGCGGAAUUCCUAGUGUAGCGGUGAAAUGCGUAGAUAUUAGGAGGAACACCGGUGGCGAAGGCGGCUUUCUGGACGAUAACUGACGCUGAGGCGCGAAAGUGUGGGGAGCAAACAGGAUUAGAUACCCUGGUA